rnacentral:rRNA from 1 species
CCUACGGGUGGCAGCAGUGAGGAAUAUUGGUCAAUGGACGAGAGUCUGAACCAGCCAAGUAGCGUGAAGGAUGACUGCCCUAUGGGUUGUAAACUUCUUUUAUAAAGGAAUAAAACGAGGCACGUGUGCCUUUUUGCAUGUACUUUAUGAAUAAGGAUCGGCUAACUCCGUGCCAGCAGCCGCGGUAAUACGGAGGAUCCGAGCGUUAUCCGGAUUUAUUGGGUUUAAAGGGAGCGUAGAUGGGUUGUUAAGUCAGUUGUGAAAGUUUGCGGCUAAACCGUAAAAUUGCAAUUGAUACUGGCAGUCGUGAGUACAGUUGAGGUAGGCGGAAUUCGUGGUGUAGCGGUGAAAUGCUUAGAUAUCACGAAGAACCCCGAUUGCGAAGGCAGCUUACUAAACUGUGACUGACAUUGAUGCUCGAAAGUGUGGGUAUCAAACAGGAUUAGAUACCCCAGUAGUC